UGAUAUCUUACGGUUUCCUUUCUUUCUUUUUUUUUUUUCUUCUUCUCUUCCCUUGGUAUCAAUGACCUUCUUUGCUUACGGCUAAUCUUAUUCGUAAUUUUGCUGAUGUAGCACUUUAUGUUCCAAUUUCUCUUUUCUAAAAACAUUCUUGCUCUACUCUCUCUCUAUCUCUCUCGUUUCUUUUCUGAAACGUUAGUUGUUUUACAGAAGGACUCGUACAACCUCGUUAACUUUAAUCAACUACAGUCAAACUCAAUCUUAUUCCCAGAAACACUGAUCAAAACGAAUGAUCCUAACUCAGCCAGUCGAAAUUUACUUUUUCUAAUAAUAAAAUGUCCAAAAACAGAAAAAAAGAAGCAACUAUUUCUAUCU
rnacentral:lncRNA from 1 species